AUUAAAGUUCUUUAGAGCAACAAUAUCCUGUCCGCAAUCGACGUUUCGUUCGAAAAAUAAUAUAACCAAAUGUAUAGAUAACGAUUUCAUUUGUUUGCGAUUUGGAGAAUAUUUAACAUAAUACAACAUGAAUUAUUUGUUUGUUUCUCACGAAGUCUGAGUUUGUUCUGUCAUACUUUCUGCAAUCUGAACUUACGGUAGAGAAUAUUUGCAUGAGAAACAUUGCAUAUAGCUUGGUCCAGAAUCUGCACAGAAACUACCAGUGAACAUCCAGAACUCGGUUGAUUUUUACAGCAUCUGUCUCCGUGCCUCAAUUUUUAAAAUUAGCAACAACAUAUGCUAUUGUCAGAUGUAUUUUUCCUAUAUGCUUGAUGAAUGUUUUGUUAUACUAGGGUGGCAGUACCGCCUCAAUCAAACACGUGAAAGAAAAAAUAAUUUUCCUUUACAAAAGAUCUGUUUAUAUAACAUUCAAUAUGUCUUCAGAAAGUGAUUCAGAUAUCUUUUUUGAUGCUGAAGACACUACACCUGUUCAUAUUGCUAAGUCAGCUUACAAAGAUGAAAAAAUGAAAGAUAUGACUGAUGUUUUACAAGAGGAUUCUGCCAUCAACAGUAAUGCUUUGAAACUUGUAGUUAUGGAUGUUAACGAAGAAGAUUUAAAGGAAGCUGCAAGGAAGGCAAAAGAUAGUGAACUAAGACGUAAAAAAGUUGAAGAACUGAGGAAAAUGGUUUUGAAUGAUGAUGAUGAAGUGUUACAAAAUCACUCAGAAGAAAGCAGCAUUGCCUCAUCUUCUGUGGAAGGUGUAUAUCCCAAAGGCAAUCCACAGUGUUUAUUAAAACAUUCUGAACAGAAUUCGAAUGAAACAUGUAGUAUCAUUAGUUUAGGGAAAAUUGGCAGCAUUCUUGGUGGUAGAGACAUUCAGAGCGGUGCUAAAGAUAUCGAUGCUGUUUCAGUGGAUUCUAAAUAUUCUAUUAGUGAAGUGGAAAGCUUAAAAGAAUUUGUUCCUCCAAAAUCUCAGUGUUCAGAGCCAGAUGUUGUUGCUAGCACAAAAAAUGAACAAGUUCAACAUCCUGUGGCACCACCUCGAAGAAAGAAGCGAAAUAAAAACAGUCAGUCAGUUUCUUCCAAUGUUAAAACAAAUUCUAGCAUCGAACAUCCAAGUCCAGCUGAUCCAAUCGAAAGCAUAACAAGAGAGCUUGAGUAUUCCUUAGAUUUGCAUAGUGCAACACGAGGGCAGUAUUGUGUUAAACCUCAGAUUUCUGGAUUUUCCCAGUUAUGCAACUGAAAUUAUCUGUCUUGUUCAAGGAAAUGCUGCCAGAUACUAUUUGAAAAUAUACUUCUCAUCAAAUGGGGCUGUAUAUUAAGAAAGAUAGCAUUGAUAGAGAACAAGAUCGAGCAGAAGGACCAAAUAAUGAUAAUGGUAAAAUUCAGAUGUCUUUGCCAAUACGAUCUCAAAGUUACAACAAUGUUUCUUCCAAAAGUGCCUCUGAUGCAUCUGAAACAGCAAAAGGGUCUU
rnacentral:misc_RNA from 1 species